rfam:Pelecanus crispus contig11959, whole genome shotgun sequence.
GCCGGGUUAGCUCAGUUGGUUAGAGCACGGUGCUAAUAACACCAAGUUCACAGGUUCAAUCCCUGCUUACUGCA